rnacentral:rRNA from 1 species
AUACGUAGGUGGCAAGCGUUAUCCGGAAUUAUUGGGCGUAAAGAGUGAGCAGGCGGUUAAUAAGUCUGAGGUUAAAGCGUGGGGCUCAACCCCAUAAAGCCUUGGAAACUGAUUGACUAGAGUACGGGAGAAGUGAAGGGAACUCCAUGUGUAGCGGUGAAAUGCGUAGAUAUAUGGAAGAACACCAGUGGCGAAGGCGCUUCACUAGCCCGAAACUGACGCUCAGUCACGAAAGCGUGGGUAGCAAAUAGGAUUAGAUACCCUAGUAGUCCACGCUGUAAACGAUGACAACUAAAUAUUGCCGCGAGGCAGUGUUGAAGCUAACGCAUUAAGUUGUCCGCCUGGGGAGUACGGUCGCAAGACUGAAACUUAAAGGAAUUGACGGGG